rnacentral:rRNA from 1 species
GACGAACGCUGGCGGCGUGCCUAACACAUGCAAGUCGAACGAGAAAGUGGAGCAAUCCAUGAGUACAGUGGCGCACGGGUGAGUAACACGUGACUAACCUACCCUCGAGUGGGGAAGUAACUCCGGGAAACCGGGGCGUAACACCGCAUAAUAUCGAAGAUACAAUAGCGCAAGCAGCUUGAGGAGGGGGUCGGCGAGCUGAUUAGUC